AUGCCGCUCCUCCCGCCGGCGCCGCCGCCGCUGCCGCUCUCCUCUCACCGCCUCGGCCUCCCCUUCCUCUCACCCCACUCGCCCGCCGGCCGCCCCCUCCGCCGCGGGGACCUCGCCAUCCGCAUGGGCGGUGGGCCGCGCACGUUCCCGGGCGGCGUCUCCAAGUGGCAGUGGAAGCGCAUGCAGGCCCGGAAGGCGAAGCAGCUCCUCAAGGCCCGGCUCGCCCGCGAGCGCCAGCUCUACGAGAUGCGCAAGCGCGCCGAGCUCCGCGACGCCGUCGUCCACCUCGAGCGGCCCUGGGACCCCGACUCGGCCCCCGUCUCCGCCGCCGCGCUGGCGCCCAACCUCCUCUCCGUCGCCGCCGACGACCAGCUCAGGGGCCUCGCCGACCGCUUCCACCGCCCCGGCGGCGUCGACCUCUGGAACGACCGCGACGGGCCCCAGGUCCUCGCGUCCCCGGGCACGGGCUUGGCCUCCGCGCGCUUCUUCCCCAGGAACGCCGUCCACAGCGUCCAGCCCUACGCCCGUCUAGGCGCCGGCGAGCGCGUGCGGGGUGUUCGGCGGAAUGACGCUGUGGAGGAUGCUUAUGGUUACGGCGAGCCUGCGGUCCAGCUGAUGGAGAGGGAUGGGAUGUGGGAGCCGGUGAUUGCUUUGGAAGCUGGAGAUGAAGACAAUUCGAGCGUCAGGAGUUGGAUUCAUGAUGAUGAGGAUGCUAUUUCUGAUUCAGACGACGACGAAGAGGAUGCUGAUUUUGGUCACCAACAACGAGCAAUGGUAAGACGAGAUGGAAGGAGGAGUGGUGAAACUGCAAGCACUAUGCGUGUUGGAAGUGAGAGGGGCAGCCAUUGGAGAGGUCAUGGCUCCCUUUCAGAUUCAGAAGGCGCAAGAAAAGGCCAUCUUGAUCAAAGAUGGCCGGACAGAAGUAGUGGGAGCAGAAGGAAGCCUCCUGCCGCAAGAUGGAAGCCUUGGAACGCCGAGGGGAGUAACGCCAUUGGAAAGGACCGGAUAGGUGGCGGUUCUUUCUCCGAGUCGGAGGUGAGCCGCCGUGGUUUUGAGCCAAAAUCAAGAGCAAGGAAUAGAGAGGACACAAUGGACGCCGUGGUGAAGUGGAAGCUCUCGUACGAUAGCCAUGGCAAUGUGAUACGAAAGGUUCGCGUUGGUGGUGAAUUUGAUUCAAAUUCAGACAGUGGAAGGGAAGACAAACUGGAACAAAAAUGGGGAGCCCGGAAUAGGUCUAGUCCAGGUGAGAACCGAAGAGGUCGAGCAGGGCUGAAACAUAGACCUAAGGCCAACAGUGGCGAAAGGCCAGGAGGCUACACGAGGGGUCACAAUGGUGAUGAAAGGGACCAAUCUGGUAACGGCUUUGCCUCGGACUUGGAGGAGCCGACAUGGAAGCCAAGAAAAAAGAAUGAAGCUAGGAGCAGCAAUGGCAGCAGAGAGUACAACAGUGAUAUGGAAGGUAGAUUCAGGAGUGGCGGAAGUGGGGCUGCAAGACGGCUAGACAGUACUCGUCCUGUGAUGAACACCAACAGAGAAGAUGGAGGAGGGCGGCGGUCGAGGGGAGAUGGAUACUCGCUACGACCAACAUCGGAAUUGCACAGCUCGAUGGACCGGAAUGGGGGACGGCAGUUCAGAGGAGACGGAUACUCGCUUCGACCAACAUCAGAACUUAGAUAA
rnacentral:rRNA from 1 species